AUCACUCACUCCAGAUCAUACCCCCAAUUAGGAAUUGUUGUGGAAUACCAUUCAGAAAAUGCAUUCUUCAGGAAGAAUAAGGUUUAUUGCGGCUAGCCUGGAGCAUUAACAGCUUCAAUCGCACAAAGGAAA